AUAUCCUACGGGACGCAGCAGUGGGGAAUAUUGCACAAUGGGGGAAACCCUGAUGCAGCGGCGCCGCGUGAGCGAUGAAGUAUUUCGGUAUGUAAAGCUCUAUCAGCAGGGAAGAAAAUGACGGUACCUGACUAAGAAGCCCCGGCUAACUACGUGCCAGCAGCCGCGGUAAUACGUAGGGGGCAAGCGUUAUCCGGAUUUACUGGGUGUAAAGGGAGCGUAGACGGUCCUGCAAGCCCGAUGUGAAAGCCCGGGGAUCAACCCCGGGACUGCAUUUGGACCUGUA
rnacentral:rRNA from 1 species